GAGUUUGAUCCUGGCUCAGGACGAACGCUGGCGGCGUGCUUAACACAUGCAAGUCGAACGGAAAGGCCCCGCUCGCGGGGUACUCGAGUGGCGAACGGGUGAGUAACACGUGGGUGAUCUGCCCUGCACUUCGGGAUAAGCCUGGGAAACUGGGUCUAAUACCGGAUAUGACCUCCCUUUAGUGUGGGGGGUGGAAAGAUUUAUCGAUGCAGGAUGAGCCCGCGGCCUAUCAGCUUGUUGGUGGGGUAAUGGCCUACCAAGGCGUCGACGGGUAGCCGGCCUGAGAGGGUGGACGGCCACAUUGGGACUGAGAUACGGCCCAGACUCCUACGGGAGGCAGCAGUGGGGAAUAUUGCACAAUGGGCGGAAGCCUGAUGCAGCGACGCCGCGUGGGGGAUGACGGCCUUCGGGUUGUAAACCUCUUUCGACAGGGACGAAGUGAAAAUGACGGUACCUGUAUAAGAAGCACGGGCUAACUACGUGCCAGCAGCCGCGGUAAUACGUAGGGUGCGAGCGUUGUCCGGAAUUACUGGGCGUAAAGAGCUCGUAGGUGGUUUGUCACGUCGUCUGUGAAAUUCCGGGGCUUAACCUCGGGCGUGCAGGCGAUACGGGCAAUACUUGAGUGCUGUAGGGGAGACUGGAAUUCCUGGUGUAGCGGUGAAAUGCGCAGAUAUCAGGAGGAACACCAAUGGCGAAGGCAGGUCUCUGGGCAGUUACUGACGCUGAGGAGCGAAAGCAUGGGUAGCGAACAGGAUUAGAUACCCUGGUAGUCCAUGCCGUAAACGGUGGGCGCUAGGUGUAGGGGACUUCCACGUUCUCUGUGCCGUAGCUAACGCAUUAAGCGCCCCGCCUGGGGAGUACGGCCGCAAGGCUAAAACUCAAAGGAAUUGACGGGGGCCCGCACAAGCGGCGGAGCAUGUGGAUUAAUUCGAUGCAACGCGAAGAACCUUGCCUGGGCUUGACAUACACCGGACCGGCGUAGAGAUACGUCUUCCCUUGUGGCCGGUGUACAGGUGGUGCAUGGUUGUCGUCAGCUCGUGUCGUGAGAUGUUGGGUUAAGUCCCGCAACGAGCGCAACCCUUGUCUUAUGUUGCCAGCACGUGAUGGUGGGGACUCAUGAGAGACUGCCGGGGUCAACUCGGAGGAAGGUGGGGAUGACGUCAAAUCAUCAUGCCCCUUAUGUCCAGGGCUUCACACAUGCUACAAUGGUCGGUACAGCAGGUCGCGAACUCGUGAGAGUAAGCCAAUCCUUCAAAGCCGGCCUCAGUUCGGAUUGGGGUCUGCAACUCGACCCCAUGAAGUCGGAGUCGCUAGUAAUCGCAGAUCAGCAACGCUGCGGUGAAUACGUUCCCGGGCCCCUUGUACACACCGCCCGUC
rnacentral:rRNA from 1 species